rnacentral:rRNA from 1 species
AUACGGAGGAUGCGAGCGUUAUCCGGAUUUAUUGGGUUUAAAGGGAGCGUAGGUGGGGUAUUAAGUCAGCUGUGAAAGUUUGGGGCUCAACCUUAAAAUUGCAGUUGAUACUGGUUUCCUUGAGUACGGUACAGGUGGGCGGAAUUCGUGGUGUAGCGGUGAAAUGCUUAGAUAUCACGAAGAACUCCGAUUGCGAAGGCAGCUCACUAGACUGUUACUGACACUGAUGCUCGAAAGUGUGGGUAUCAAACAGGAUUAGAUACCCUGGUAGUCCGCACAGUAAACGAUGAAUACUCGCUGUUUGCGAUACACUGUAAGCGGCCAAGCGAAAGCGUUAAGUAUUCCACCUGGGGAGUACGCCGGCAACGGUGAAACUCAAAUGAAUUGGCGGGG